GUAUUGAUUGCGGGUUAGCGCAUAAAUGAGGUCAUUCUACACUUUUUAAAAGGGGUGUUUGUGUGAAAACGCGAGCCCCCUCCGAGAUGAUCCCAAAGGGUGCCCACGCGGUGAUGCACAAAGGGUGAGAUGGAUUGUGAGAGGGCUCGGGCGUGCACGACCCGGAAAGGUCAGCGACAGCCCUCGCGCCUCGGUUGUACGAUAAUGAUCCUUCCGCAGGUUCACCUACGGAAA
rnacentral:misc_RNA from 1 species